UAUUAACUACACAAUACCAUCAAGUGUUAUGGUUCAUUAUGGUUCUUUUGCAUUACUCCAAAUAGUGAAAGUCUAAGAGUCUGCAGAUUAYUGCAAAGGGGAGAAGAAACUGGUGACAAAGUGAAUGAUCAUUGUAAUGUAGUCAUGCAAAAUCACAAGGAAUAUACAARGUCUUGUUUUGCUGCACAAAGGAGAAAUCAAAACCAUUAGGAGGUGAUGGCCUUGCUCAGACCUCUAGGGUUCUUUCACCCUUCCUUCCCACSCCAGUUCUUUAGUUUAUUUCUGUAACACCCUUUUGGUAGAUCCGUGCUGGGUUUUGAACACAGCUCCAAGCCACAGCUUUGAGGUGAGCCUGUGCUUCAUCUCAGCUUGAGGGAAACCUCUCAAGGUUGGUAAAYGGGGAUGUGCAGCAGUGCCACCCAUUGAUGGGGCAGCACCACGGUAUGCAGACCAGGAAGCACAUUUACUAAUUUACACCAUGUUUAYCUUGUGGGCACAUGAGAAGCCACCUUGGAACAGGGAAAACUGUUCCCUACAGCAGCUGGARUAUUGCCCAGCAAGGCAAGAUGAGAUUAUAGCAGAGAAGCUGUAGGUGAUCUACUUCCUUUUCUCCAAGGACCAUACUUGUGGAUUAAGACACAACUACGAUUUUCUUCUACAGAUUUGGGCUGAAACUUCCUGUUCUAUCUAYAGGUUGCGUGAACAAAUGAAGAAAACCAUAUAACAUUCAAGACUUCAUUAAUUGGUUGCCUAGUCUCAAGUAUCACUUUUCUGGAGUUACCUGCCAUCUGGCACUGGCAGCAGGUUUGCCAGGACACCUGCUGAGCAAACAGCAACCCUCCUAAGCAGAUGGAAAUCCUGCAAGGUAACAUGGAAAAACUAUCUGGUGAUUCAAGCCCCAACUGUCCUUGUGGUGUCUAGUCUCGCUUAUUUCUGCAUUUCCCUUUAAAGCUACUUUUUUGGUAUUGUAGAAAAGGAGGCUUGGAGAAGGAAAAGGAGAAGGAAGAGAGGGAUUAAAACAAGAAAAGCAGGUAUCCUUGUGGCUUUUGGGGGCAAAUUGAUUAGCCUAUUAUGGAAGUUGGUGCAUAGRACAUGGAGAGGAGACUGAGCUUUGACAGCUGAUGUGCUUGUGUGGAGUGCUCAGGCUUCACUAAACCWCAGCACAAAACUGGUGCCCUUUCCCAGCUCCUUCAUGUGUCCUCAUGUCUGCUAUAUAUUGAUGAACAACAGCUAAAACACCCGACCCUUUUAUAAGAUGAAGUCUGCAGCAAGUCCAUGUUAAAAUGCCAAACCUCUCAAUUUUCUUGCCUACCCCUCUGCCGGAGAUGACUGUGUCUGUAGCAGAUGCUGAAGAAGGAAAUGUGUGCCCAUGCAGUAGCAGCUACAGUUCAGGGUCCUAUGCCAAAUCUCAAAUGGCAUUUCCAUGCCUCGCCUAGGAAGACGGAAGACCAAGCUUUUUGUAGGUUUCUUUUGGUAACAAAACCAGAUUAAUGGAAUGAUGUGAGAAGAAAACACACCAAUUUCCUGUGGACUUAUAUCACAGCUGAGUGAGUUGCUUGAGCCAGUUCCAUUCCUGUCCAACAAGGAGUUGUGUUGGUAUGACUGCAAGCACCACACGCUUCCCGUGGCAGGGAAUGAGCAAUUUGGCAAGAAUUAACCAGGUUAUUCUUCUCAGCAUGGAUCUUUAUCAUCUGCCUGUGUGACAAAGUUUUAUUGGAUCAACUGCAUCACUCAAGGCUGUGUAGUUCUUCACCAAUAAAACUAUAC